UGUGCAGGCGGCUUUGUAAGUCAGUGGUGAAAGCCCGGAGCUCAACUCUGGAACUGCCUUAGAUACUGGUUAUCUUGAGUUUUAGUGAAGUAGAUAGAAUGCGUAGUGUAGCGGUGAAAUGCUUAGAUAUUACACAGAACACCGAUUGCGAAGGCAGCUUACUGGACCAUUACUGACGCUGAGGCACGAAAGCGUGGGGAGCGAACAGGAUUAGAUACCCUGGUAGUCC
rnacentral:rRNA from 1 species